CCGCCUCAGAGAACUCCAGGAAACUCUCAUGGAGAUGCUUGGUAAUCCACUGCUGCAGGUUCUUUAGCAGAGCUGCUUUAUUUCUUGCCCCAUUAACGGUAACUUUCCCGUGCCACUGUGCCAUCAUGAAGCGGGGAAGGGGAACCAUUGCUGCACACAGUCUCAGCAGAAAGACCAAGGAAUGAGUGGGCAUGGAGACCAAGUUACCCUCACACUACUUAAGGAGCAGAACAACAGACUGACAAGAUGAGAUUUCACUGAGAUGACAUGUGAGGGUGGAACAGGAGAACAAGUACAAAAUUGAAGUGGCAGCUUGCUGCUGUCAAAAGCUUGUUGUAUUUGAUCUGGAUCAUCUGAAGAGGUCUGAGCAAAAUUCAUCCCCAAUAUAAACUCCUUUGAGAAGGUGCCUUGGAGCUGGAAUCUGGCCUAACCAGCCAGGCGAAAAUUCCCCCAGUGAUGUACCUGGCUCCUACACCAACCACCUAUCCCAGUGUAGUGGGGAAUAGUGAGCUGAAGAGGGAAGUGUGAGUGGAGUGGAGUUGUGCUCUUCCAAUUCUCAUCUGGAGUAUGGUCCCUUGGGGGCCAUAUCCAACUAUUGUAAGAAAGAGAUGUCCCUAGACUACAUUGAUUUACCCUGGGGCCAUGCCAACAGAAUUGGGGAGUUGUUACUGGCUUCCAUAUGUUUUCCACUCAUUCUCCUGUAGCAAACAUAUCCCAGUGCAUGAGAAAAACUGGCUCUUUGUAUUUGGCAAGUUUUGGAUUUAUAAAUUGUGCCAAAUCCAUGUUGGUCAGGGGCAUUUACAAUAUACACUAAACCCUAACCUCUUUACCCCUUUCAAAAACAUAGGAAAGAAAGGACACUUCCCAAAAUAAAACAUAACCUUCCCUCCUACAAAGCCUCCCUGCAGCAAAUUGGCUAAGAAAAGAGAUGAGUCUCCUCCAAAGGUCCAAAUAUUGGGACCAGUUUUCCCAGAUAAUUAUAUCUAUGGAAUGUUAGCUGAUCCCAUCUGUAUCCGUGGAACAUUGUCACUCUCUCAAGCUCUUAAAUAGCCAGAACUGAGGAUGCAUAGGCAAAGGCUUAUGUAUUCAGCCAAAAGUCUGACACUGGUGGAAAUUCUGUUGCAACUUCAUUUAUUUUGAAAAUAGUUUUUACUGAAUGAAAUACGA